rnacentral:tRNA from 1 species
GGACAGGUAGCUCAGUUGGUAGAGCUUCGGUGUGAAGUACCGAGAGUCAGGGGUUCAAGUCCCUUUCUGUCCACCA